rnacentral:tRNA from 1 species
GGCUCGAUAGCUCAGUCGGUAGAGCAAAGGACUGAAAAUCCUUGAGUCGGCAGUUCGAUUCUGCCUCGAGCCA